UACGUAUGGUGCAAGCGUUAUCCGGAUUUACUGGGUGUAAAGGGAGCGUAGGCGGCGCGUUAAGUCUGAUGUGAAAACCCGAGGCUCAACCACGGGAGUGCAUUGGAAACUGGCGGGCUGGAGUGCCGGAGAGGUAAGCGGAAUUCCUAGUGUAGCGGUGAAAUGCGUAGAUAAUAGGAGGAACACCAGUGGCGAAGGCGGCUUACUGGACGGCAACUGACGCUGAGGCUCGAAAGCGUGGGGAGCAAACAGG
rnacentral:rRNA from 1 species